UUUGGGCUCACUCGCGGGCUCCCUCUAGCGGUUAUCAGUGAUUUUAUGAUAAAACGGGAGAGAGAAGAAGUGGGAAGGCUCGCUAUCAUCCAGGUCCUGCUACCGUACCAAAACAGUGCUGCAGUGAACAGAGUCCGUGUGGAAACAGCACACAUACCCAGAGUUCCGACUUCAAGAGCGAGUCAUUCGUCAUUCACAUACAGAUCGCAGACUUGCCAGGUGUUUCGGAAGUUGCGGGAGUGUACUGCAAUAUUGAUAACGUCUACCUGAUGCCCUCAAGUCAGAUAAAAUCUCCAGAGAUUCUAAAUCGAGUGGCCAAAGUGAACGCAGCAAGGAAUUAAGACACAGAGUGAAUGAGAGCCCAUUACAAGCGGUAAAUUUUAUUAUGGGAUAACAGCACAUAAAGCACAUCUAAAAUCGAUGUGUCCAAUGCACUUUUAAUAAAGCUGUAUUUACAAAAUGAAUCAAAAUACUUAUUUCCAUAUUUAAGAAUCCGACGAAGAGAAGGAGCAAAACUACUAUUGUGAAG